rnacentral:lncRNA from 1 species
AUUAUUUUUUUUUUGUUUCUUAUUUCCACAACAAAUGGUGUUGGAAACAUUUUAAAAAAAAAAAAAAAGCAACUGCGAGGGGCAGGUUUUUUGAAUUGGACAUGUGGAAAUGGAUUCGGCCAUGUUGGUUUUGUGUCUGGUAGGAAGAAAGCAGUAUAAUAAAAAUCUAUUUCUAUUCAUCAUUAGGACACCUCAAUUGUGGUUUAAUCAGCCAAAAUCCAAUCGAUCUAACAUUUUGGUCCGUCGAGGCGGAUGUGAAACGAGUGGACUAGUAGAAUUGAGCUCAUCGAGAAGGCUGUCCCAAGACAUUUCAUCAUCUUGCCGAAAGUGAGUUCUUAUUUUUUAUAACCAUAAGUCAAUAAUUCAUUCGUG